rnacentral:rRNA from 1 species
GGAGUUAGCCGGUGCUUCUUCUGUGAGUGAUGUCCUUCCUGCCGGUUAUUGACCCGCAGGCCUUCUUCCUCACUGAAAGUGCUUUACAACCCGAAGGCCUUCUUCACACACGCGGCAUGGCUGGAUCAGGGUUGCCCCCAUUGUCCAAUAUUCCCCACUGCUGCCUCCCGUAGGAGUCUGGGCCGUGUCUCAGUCCCAGUGUGGCUGAUCAUCCUCUCAGACCAGCUACGGAUCGUCGCCUUGGUGAGCCGUUACCUCACCAACCAGCUAAUCCGACAUAGGCUCAUCCGAUAGCGCGAGGCCCGAAGGUCCCCCGCUUUCCCCCGUAGGGCGUAUGCGGUAUUAGCCUGGGUUUCCCCCAGGGUUAUCCCCCACUACCGGGGCAGAUUCCUAUGCAUUACUCACCCGUCCGCCGCUCGCCACCAGGGAGCAAGCUCCCCGUGCUGCCGCUCGACUUGCAUGUGUUAGGCCUGCCGCCAGCGUUCAAUCUGAGCCAGGAUCAAACUCUGA